AUUGAACGCUGGCGGCAUGCUUUACACAUGCAAGUCGAACGGUAACAGGCCGCAAGGUGCUGACGAGUGGCGAACGGGUGAGUAAUGCAUCGGAACGUGCCCAGUCGUGGGGGAUAACUACUCGAAAGAGUAGCUAAUACCGCAUACGAUCUAUGGAUGAAAGCGGGGGACCGUAAGGCCUCGCGCGAUUGGAGCGGCCGAUGUCAGAUUAGGUAGUUGGUGGGGUAAGGGCUCACCAAGCCAACGAUCUGUAGCUGGUCUGAGAGGACGACCAGCCACACUGGGACUGAGACACGGCCCAGACUCCUACGGGAGGCAGCAGUGGGGAAUUUUGGACAAUGGGCGCAAGCCUGAUCCAGCAAUGCCGCGUGCAGGAAGAAGGCCUUCGGGUUGUAAACUGCUUUUGUACGGAACGAAACGGCUCUGGUUAAUACCCGGGGCUAAUGACGGUACCGUAAGAAUAGGCACCGGCUAACUACGUG
rnacentral:rRNA from 1 species